GAAAACUAUUACUCGGAAUGCUCUUCAGCAAGGUAGCCACAAAUUCAGUUCGUAUAACAUAGUUUUUAAAGGAAAUGUGGAGAAAAUAUCCGAAAAAAGGAGGAGGAGAAGCAAGCGAGCAUGCAAGCAAGACCUUGCAGGGCUCCACCAAGGUUUUAAUUCCCAUUAUUGUGGGGAUUGUGCACCUCGACGUUCCAGUGAUCGUCUGGCACUGAAUCGUGCAAAAGCUCAGCAUCAGUGUGCAGCCCAUGCACGAAGCAGUAGUCGUAGGCCCCAAGGUCUUCGUUUCUGCCCAGACGAACAGUGCGCACACCAGGAAGCGUGGUUUGUCUUAUAAAAAGGUGGUCUGAAUCUGUCUUUUAUCCCGGCGAUUUAUUUUGUUGGAAUACCUGCUAUCAACUCCGCCUCGGUCUAGUUCGCCUGCUUCUCCAGGAAAGUGUGGAUGUCGCAUUGUUCUCGCUUUUACCACAAGCCCCCUUCAAAGCAUUACUUUGAUCCAUGCUUUGCAAUAGUCGAGCUAAUCUGAGACCGCCGAUUAUCUCUUCAAGUUUUGAGGGAUUACUCCAAACUGCUGCGUCUUACUUCUGUUCUACUCUCCCUGUCUCACUCUUUCUCUCUUUCUCCCUAGGAUACUGACAGUCGUAUUACGGAAAAUCUGUCUUUCCAUGCUAGCAAGGCGUGCUACAUAGAUCCAAGCAAGGUUACGCUGCGAGCUAUUUUCUUUUACUCUGAAGCUAGCCUUAGCUUUCGCACACUCGCAACCUUGUCCUCGUGAAAGACGUUGCUAUCUACAAGUGUACCACAGCCGAGGUCGUGAGUGUGUGUUUUUUGGUGUGUGUCUGGGAUGGACGGUGCUUCAAGCCGUGAAGUGUUUAACCAACGGCACUCCUCAUCGCAUCUUCGCAAGUCCACUUCCUUCUUCGCAUCUCUGAGCCCGGAUCGGCUAUCGCCCAACUUGGACGUCCGAGAUCGACAGGCCGAAGGUGCCGUCAACGUUUGAACCCCAGCCAUCAUGUUGGGCCUAGUGAACUCGAAUCCUUCAAUUGGAAUUGUGACCCUCCCGACACAGAGACUCUCGCUACGGCACUACUUUCAGGAUUCCAGCCGCUCCCAGAUACAGACAUCACGGUAUAUUCCCGUAAAUUCUCUAGGCUUUUCAGGAACCCGAAAGAACUUGAUCCCCAAACACAUUGAGAAUCGCUUCUACGACCUUUUUAAUGCAAACAUGUAGCCAGUUCUACUUUAUUAGGGUUGAAUGUAGGUGGGAGUAGAGCUGCGAGCUCUGAACUUUGAGACCUCAACCCUGGUGAAUGUCGUAGAGUGGAUAGAAGCAUUGCACUAGUUUAAAUUCAUGCUUCCGGUAUCUCUCCCCGCGAGUUUCAUAAAAAUAUUUAGUUCGUAGUACAUAUUAUACGUCCAUGUCGGUGUAGGAUUGCGAUUCUCCGUACUGUUUUUUACGUUUCCAGGCACAUGCAUGCAUGUUCGUUGCCGACCUCCUCUGACGGCCAUUUUCCAGCGUGGAAAAAUGAGCGAGAGUAGGAUGCUCCCCAGUUCUCCAGUCCAAAUUUACCACUGCUUUGUCAGCAUCAUAACACAUAUGAAAUAGACUACUCUUUGCACCUCUUCAGAUUUGAGGUGCGAUUUUCAGAACCCUUUUGCAUUUCUUCCGUCUCUUGCAUUUGCUUUUUCUUGGUUAGGCAUUCUAAGCACUACUGCUGCUUUGUCGAGGCUUGUCUCGUGAAGACAUUCCUGAGGCUAAGCUCUCACGGAAGCAUCGGCCAUGCCAAGUUCUUAACUGAAGCAGAAUCGCCAUUGUCUUAGUACUUGUUUCCAUGCUUCCGCUUACCCAAAUCUUCGUCCAGAAGGUGCGUGAUGAAAGCUCCCUUGGAACUAUGUACUUAUCCAAUAACAUGUCAAUGCCAAUGUAGCUGGCGUCUUUCAUCCUCAGAAAAUAGUAUUCGUUGUUUCUGAGGUUGCUUUCGUGAUGUUCUUUGUGCUAUAUCUGGAAUGAAUAGAUGAGCCAUUUAGCAAUUGAGUGGGUGGUGAAGAAUAGCUCUUUAUCAAUGUCGGAAGGAUGCUACAUCAGCAAUGGCAGGAGGUUUGCAAGACUUGUAGAAACAUUUAGGAGCUUUCUUACAGUUUUCUUCUGAGGAAUUAGGGGUUGUGCAUGUUGAAUGAAUGUGAAUUGCUGAUAUAUGAGUUGAAUUCGCAAGCCCGACUGUGGGAUUUCCGUGUGUGAA